UACCAUGGCCAUAUCACCCUGGAGCUUAAAACGGUUACUCACUGAAGCUAAGCAGGGCCUGGUCAGUACCUGGAUGGGAGACCACAUAGGAAAAGUGGGUUGCUGUUGGAA
rnacentral:rRNA from 1 species